rnacentral:rRNA from 1 species
GGCAGCACGGGUACUUGUACCUGGUGGCGAGCGGCGGACGGGUGAGUAAUGCCUAGGAAUCUGCCUGGUAGUGGGGGAUAACGCUCGGAAACGGACGCUAAUACCGCAUACGUCCUACGGGAGAAAGCAGGGGACCUUCGGGCCUUGCGCUAUCAGAUGAGCCUAGGUCGGAUUAGCUAGUUGGUGAGGUAAUGGCUCACCAAGGCGACGAUCCGUAACUGGUCUGAGAGGAUGAUCAGUCACACUGGAACUGAGACACGGUCCAGACUCCUACGGGAGGCAGCAGUGGGGAAUAUUGGACAAUGGGCGAAAGCCUGAUCCAGCCAUGCCGCGUGUGUGAAGAAGGUCUUCGGAUUGUAAAGCACUUUAAGUUGGGAGGAAGGGCAUUUACCUAAUACGUGAGUGUUUUGACGUUACCGACAGAAUAAGCACCGGCUAACUCUGUGCCAGCAGCCGCGGUAAUACAGAGGGUGCAAGCGUUAAUCGUGAAUUACUGGGUCGAAAAGCGCGCGUAGGUGGUUUGCUAA